rnacentral:rRNA from 1 species
AUUGAACGCUGGCGGCAUGCCUUACACAUGCAAGUCGAACGGUAACAGGUCUUCGGAUGCUGACGAGUGGCGAACGGGUGAGUAAUACAUCGGAACGUGCCUAGUAGUGGGGGAUAACUACUCGAAAGAGUGGCUAAUACCGCAUGAGAUCUACGGAUGAAAGCAGGGGAUCGCAAGACCUUGUGCUACUAGAGCGGCCGAUGGCAGAUUAGGAAGUUGGUGGGAUAAAAGCUUACCAAGCCGACGAUCUGUAGCUGGUAUGAGAGGACGAUCAGCGACACUGGGACUGAGACACGGCCCAGACUCAUACGGGAGGCAGCAGUGGAGAAUUUUGGACAAUGGGCGAAAGCCUGAUCCAGCAAUGCCGCGUGCAGAAUGAAGGCCUUCGGAUUGUAAACUGCUGUUGUACGGAACGAAAAGCCCCGGGUUAAUACCCUGGGGUCAUGACGGUACCGUAAGAAUAAGCACCGGCUAACUACGUGCCAGCCGCCGCCGUAA